UCUGCUAUACUUAACAACGUUGCAUCUGCAACCCUUGACCCUUCCCUUCUUUGGUCAAGCAUAUUAGAAGCGAAACAAUCGCUAAAGGAGAUUUUUACAUG
rnacentral:ncRNA from 2 species